UUUUGCUAACUCAUUCAGAGUGGAAAAAGUGAUUCGACGCAUGCAAAAGUGUAUAGACCUUAAUGGAGAAUAUUUCAAAAAACAAUAAAGCGAUUUUCGAUUCGUAGAGGUAUACACGCAAAGAAUAUAUAAUAAGUUGAGUGACCACAUAUAGAAACGAUAAAAAUUUUCUGUAACGACAACUGCAACAAAACUGACAGAGAACUCGAUGACUGCAGUAUUACAACAAAGACGACAAAUUAUAAUUAGAGAGAGCAGAUGGUAGACACAAAGGCAGAAUAUGGCAAUCGGAUCAACGCAGCGAAGUUACAGACAGAUGCCAAUAAAUUUGAGUAUUUUAAAAAGCAGAAAGAGUGGCUAAUGACUUCAAAGGACAAAGAACUUCGAUGCGAGGUGUGGAAAAGAGAUGUAUACAUGUGUGCUGAACAAUGGUGUUAAACUAGAAAAUUGUGGAUCAAUGUACGCAGUUCCUGAGCAAACACACUGCUGACGUUUAAUAUCAAUGGCGGUUCACAGAGGCCAAGCGCACACUGAUAUAGCAUAUCUCAUAGCAAAUCUAAGAGAAUUUUGUACAAAUGAGAAAAAACUUGAACCUUAUUGGAAGCCACACUUGUAUACAGUUAUGCAUAUUUAAUGACUAAGCUUUUUUACACACAUGCUAUUCUUACAUACAUAUGUACAUAGGUAUUAAUAGCAAGUAAGGAAUAACAAAGCCCGUCAAAUGUUGCGCAAGAAUUCAACAUUCAUUAUUCGACGAAAUCCUGAAUUGAUUACAACAAAUUUGGUAUUAUAUUAAGCUAUAUUAUAGGUCAUAGACUGAAUUAGUUUUAUUGUUACUGUAUAUUUCAUUUCGCGUCAGCUAAAAUUAUAAUAAAAACAUCCUCAAAUUUUACGUAUAACAUGAUAUAAACUCAA